rnacentral:lncRNA from 1 species
UUUUUUUUUUUUUUUUUUUUUUUUUCUUUUUCCUCUUGCCUCUUCCUGUACCUAAUGCCUUCCUGGGUGGACUGCCUCUCACAUACUGAAGGUAGGGCCUGGGGAUCCCUUCUUCCCCGUUUCAGGGCUCCCAUUGGACUCCCACAUCAGAAUGGCCUCUGUGACCUUAGCAGCCUGCCAGGUGUUCCCAGCCUUGCCAAAUGGAAAUGUCAGGGCACUAGCUCUGAGGCCUCACAGGUAUCAAGGCUCAGGAGUAUCCAGACUUGCCAAGGUCCCCUUGUGCUCCAGUGCUCUCCAUGUUUCCAUCUAGGUCUGGUGGUAUUUGGCCCCACCCCUCAGGGGCCUGGGGCCUAGUUCCUGUGAGUGGGCUUUGUGGUUGCCAAGGUUUAUCCAGAUUCUUGAUAGAUUUGGUCUGAGGAUUCCUGAGAGGGAGCCAGAGAAUUGGUGAGAUAGGCCAAUGGAUGUGAGAUCUGGUUCAGGAAUGAGGUGGCUUCUCUUUGUUUUUCGGGGGCUUGCAAGACAAACACAGGCGGUCUUGAGGGUGUGAGAGACGGUAACCCCCAGGGAGAGCCUGCCUAUGUGGUCACAUAUCCUGCUCUGGGGUUUAUGGCAUUUCCCUUUUCCUCCUUCCCUUCUAUUUCUAUCACCUCCAUUUUCCUGGGAAAAAGAGCCAUGGAGCCCAUUUGUCCUGCAUGCACUGCUCCCUUUUUACAGCACCUCACCCAAUGGCUAAAACACCAGUAUGUUUGGGAUGAGACUCCUUGUGACUUCCUGCAGGUCGCGUUGUGAGAUUUAGUAUGAGAUCUGCAAGAUUUGCCCAACCUCCCGGGGAUUUGGGCCCAGGUCCAAGGAGUGAACUUGGAUCUCAUGAGAUUUGGCUAGAGUUCUUGUGAGAUUUGGUCGGUGGAUUCCUGAAAGGCAGCCAGAGAAUUCCUGAGACUUGCCAUCAGUUUACAUGACAUCCGGCAAGGAAAGAGGUCACUUCUCUCUCUUUUUUUUUUUUCUUUUUUUCUUUGCUGGUAUGUUGUGAGGCACAGAUAGCCUUCACAUGGUGAAGACCGGCCAAGCCGCCGGGAGCCCGCCGAGGUGCUGACGUGGCCUCCUGGGGCGCAUGGCUUCCUUCUCUUGCCCUCCAGGUUCUAGCCCCUCUGGUGUCUUUUGCAUAAGAGGCCACGGGGAUCAUCCAUCCUGAAUUCACGGCUGUCCUGUUGGGCCCACUUCACCGGGGACGUGAAGCCCCAGGGACUGGCGUGUGAGAUACCGUGUCUUCUGGCACAUCGUGUCUGGGAGCACUUCUGAAAUCAGAAAUGGUGCAGGUUGUGCCCAGUCCCGCUGUGCGUCAUCACGUGUGUAAGGAGCCCAGAGCAGACUCUGCUGGGGAGUGACCGUCCGCUCAAGGGCAGGCAGCUUCGGCAAGACACCUCACCGUUCCGCCGGAGCUCCCUGGCUGGGCCCAAGAUCUCGGAGAUUUUGAUGAGAUCUCAUGAGAUGUGGACUGAGAUCACUCGGGAUUUGCCAAAUCUCGUGCGAUCUGGCAAAGCCCGGUGACAGCUUUGCUCCUGCCUGCGGCAACUCACACGGACGGUCCUGAGAGAUUGGAAGCCGGGGAAUGCCCGCGGGAGCCCUUCUGUGUAGACGAGCCAGCUCUUGGGCAGGCUCACUGCCCCUCUCAGGACCUAAUGCCCUCCUGGAGUGUCAGGAAGGGACCCAGAUGCCCCAACAUCGCGAUUUCAGUGCUUUGUGCACCCCCAGAUCGGAAGGGCCCUUAUGGGCCUCACGGAACGCCAGGCGAUCCGGACCUCCCCAGACAAGAUCGGCCCAGCGCUCCUAUGUCGCGGCACAGGCGCCCAGGCUUCAGACUUCCACGCCUGCUGAGUUCCCGUGACGUUUACUGUGCGAUCUGGCGAGACUUGCCCCCAACCCCUCGGGAUUUGUCCAAGGGGCAGGGGCGAGCGCCCGCCCAGCUCCCCACCGCGAGGCCCGCCCGGAAGGGGAAGGGCCGUGCCGCUGGCCGCCGUCCCGGGAGGUGCGCGCGCUGGCCGCCCUCCGGCCUCACGUUCCCUCUGGGAAGGGGUCCGUGCGGCCACCCCCCCCCCCCCAGCCCGCGACACCCACGAUCCUGUCGGCCAAGGCCCACCGGCCCUCCCCCUCCCCCGUCCCAGCCCCAGGCCGAGCGCCCGCGGCGGGCGCCACCCCCGAAGCAUGCAGCGCAGCGACCGUACGCAGGACCCUGCUUCCCCCCGCCUGGGGACCGGACGGGCGCCUCCCCGCUGCUGGCCGGCGGGGGAGGCACGUGCGAGACCCGGCCACCGAGGGGGUGGGGAGGGAACCACGGACUCCCCUACCGACUCCACCCGCUCCGCCACAGGCCACCAACAGCGGCGGCCCCCGGGGGUCGCUGGGAAAGGGGCACCUGAGACCACCGGGAACGCUCCUCGACGGACAGAAACAGGGCGCCCCUCCACUUUCUCUGGGAGGGGCGAACAGGUGUGCAUACACGCGGGCAAAAGCCCUGCCCCCUGGUUUGCACAGAGCAGUGUCCCCCUGCUGCCUCCCCACCCCCUCUGGCCGCCCCCACCCCGGACAAGAGAGGAGUCUGCAGUUUGGCACGUGCAGCCCCUUUUUUUUCUUUUUUUUUUCACUCCUAAAAGAGGCCCAAAAGCCUCCAGGGAACAAAGAGCUCAGCAGCAAACUGCAAGCACUGAGCCUGGCCACCUGGCAAGAGGCAGAGCAUCUCCCCCCAGGUACAGAACUGAGAAUCAGCGCUCGCUGAUUCCCCUAGAAGACCAGCUGGAAGAACAGGGAAGCAGCACGUUUACUGACCAGUCAGCACUGGAAAACUCCAGGACUGAGGGGAACUAGUAUGUAGAAAUCAAGGUUUCUGUCUUAUGAUGUGUUUAUAUUUCAGGUUAAGAUUUUCCAAUAUGCUUUCUUUUCUCUCAUCUCAGUUUAAUAUAUUAUCAACUCUUCGUUUUUAAGUUCUCUUUUUUAACUUUCAUAUUUCACAAUUACAUGUUAUACAUACAUUCUUCAUUUCUGGCUACUUUUCACCAUAUUCACUUUAAUUUUGUAUAUAUAUGUCUUCUUUUUGUUUUUAUAAUUUUGGAAUUUAGUACCCUUUAACAGACAGACCAAAAUAUACUCAGAACCAAGUAGAUCACAGUUUUGGUCCAUUCUGUGAGAUUAUAUCCUCUCUCUCCACUACUUCCCAUUUUUUUUCUUUUUUGUGUUGUCUCUCUAUAUAAGUUUUGCUUUUUUUUAUAAUUUUGGAAUUUAGGGACGCGUGGGUGGCUUAGCGGUUGAGCGUCUGCCUUCACCUCAGGACCUUAUCCUGUGGUCCCGGGAUCGAGUCCUACAUCAGGCUCCCUAUAUAAAGCCUGCUUCUCCCUCUGCCUGUGUCUCUGCCUCUCUCUCUCCCUCUCUCUCCCUCUCUCUCUCUCUGUCUCUCAUGAAGAAAUAAAAUCUUUUUUAAAAAAAUUGGAAUUUAGUACAUUCUAAUACACGGGCUAAAAUACACUCAGAAACAAGGGGGUCACUAUUUUGGUCCACUCUGUGACAUUAUAGUCUCUCCCCCACCCUUUGCUCCCUUUUUAAUUUCUCUCUUUACUUGUAUUUUUUCUUAUAUUUUCUGGUCCCUUAUCUCUUCAUCAAAUUUUGGAGAUGGAAUCAGGAUUACAAUGAUAAAGUUACCAGUUGGGCCUGAAAAAAAGCAUAAAAGACUAGAGAAUCUCUUAGUG